UAACGCGUGAGGAACCUGCCUCAAAGAGGGGGACAACAGUUGGAAACGACUGCUAAUACCGCAUAAGCCCACAGCUCGGCAUCGAGCAGAGGGAAAAGGAGUGAUCCGCUUUGAGAUGGCCUCGCGUCCGAUUAGCUAGUUGGUGAGGUAGUGGCCCACCAAGGCGACGAUCGGUAGCCGGACUGAGAGGUUGAACGGCCACAUUGGGACUGAGACACGGCCCAG
rnacentral:rRNA from 1 species